rnacentral:telomerase_RNA from 1 species
CUCUAUUCCUUUGAUCUUGCUGUAUUAUAUGCAGCUUUCUAACCCUAAGGACAUCUAUCGAUCUCAUUGAUAGUACUUUGAAUGACUUUCAUUGCACACUGAGCGGUGUAUUGGCCUGCUUUCAUCGCACGGGGAAGUCAUUCCAUUCAAGCAGGUCCUGCGAAGGAAUUCCUAGUGAGAGGAGAAGCAAGAUCGCUUGAAGCUCCUCACUGAUGGCUGAUUUUGAAAGCGAAAGAGAGCUCAGUCGUAAGUUACAUUACAUGCUGGGUUCAAGGCCUUGUCCCUGUUUCCUAGCUUUUUGUUCAGUCGUUGUGAGCUAUGGCUAAGAGUAAACAUGUGAACAGCUCGCAGAAAUCUUCCCAAAGACGUCAUAUGGGACAGGUCAAGCGAAACGUUCAUACAUUU